rfam:Ochrobactrum anthropi ATCC 49188 chromosome 2, complete sequence.
AUAGGCAUUGCUUAAGAGCGCUGGAACGCGUCUGUCGCUCGCAAUAGCCUUCAUCGCUUGAUGCUUUUGACCACGGAUGUACUGGCACUGGUAGGAAAGCGAUGAUCAGGAAGGUCGGUGCGUUUUCGCCCCGGCCUUUUUUGUU